rnacentral:rRNA from 1 species
AACGAACGCUGGCGGCAUGCCUAACACAUGCAAGUCGAACGAGACCUUCGGGUCUAGUGGCGCACGGGUGCGUAACGCGUGGGAACCUGCCCUUAGGUUCGGAAUACCUCCCCGAAAGGGGUGCUAAUACCGGAUAAGGUCUUCGGACCAAAGAUUUAUCGCCUUUGGAUGGGCCCGCGUGGGAUUAGCUAGUUGGUAGGGUAAAAGCCUACCAAGGCGACGAUCCAUAGCUGGUCUGAGAGGAUGAUCAGCCACACUGGGACUGAGACACGGCCCAGACUCCUACGGGAGGCAGCAGUGGGGAAUAUUGGACAAUGGGCGAAAGCCUGAUCCAGCAAUGCCGCGUGAGUCAUGAAGGCCUUAGGGUUGUAAAGCUCUUUUACACGGGAUGAUAAUGACAGUACCGGGAGAAUAAGCUCCGGCUAACUCCGUG